UGCGGCCAAGCUCCACACUGCAGAAAACAGCACCGAACCGAAGCUGUGAGCGAUAAGAGCAAGAGAGAGAGAGACACAAAGAGUGAUUCAGAGGGACGAAGAGCUCCUUCGCGCAAAGCAAUGCCUGUCAUCACCUGAAUUCCAUGCUCCUUUUCCGUUUCUCCGCAUUGCUCUCGUCUCUUUCACUACUCACGACCCUUCCAUAACUAAAAUAAAUAAAUAUAAAGCCCCGUCGCUGCAUUUUUUUGUCUAGCGUUUGAUGCCAUUGUUUUUCCUUUGCUUGUUUUGUGUCUUUGUCUGAAUAACCAAGAUCUUCAAGGGCAAUGCUAUCUCUGAGAAACGUUUUUCUGAGGAGCGCUUGAUCCGGCGUGAAAUAUUCUUUGUUGAUAAUUUUCGUCUUGGACUGUGCGAGUGGAGCAGCCUGUGUUACUAUUAAAGGCAUAUUCUCUUGCAAGGUUGAUUUGCAGAGAGCAUGGCGUCUUGGGAUCAAAUGGGGGAACUUGCAAAUGUGGCACAGUUGACUGGUGUAGAUGCUGUGCGGCUGAUUGGGAUGAUUGUGAGAGCUGCAAGCACUGCACGGAUGCAUAAGAAAAACUGCAGGCAGUUUGCACAGCAUCUGAAGUUGAUUGGGAACUUGCUGGAGCAGCUCAAGAUCUCGGAGCUGAAGAAGUACCCGGAAACUAGGGAGCCUCUGGAGCAGCUGGAAGAUGCUCUCAGAAGAUCUUAUAUAUUGGUCAAUAGCUGUCAGGACAGGAGCUACCUUUAUUUGCUCGCUAUGGGCUGGAACAUUGUUUAUCAGUUCAGGAAGGCUCAAAACGAAAUCGAUAGAUACCUGCGUCUGGUUCCUCUCAUUACUCUUGUGGACAAUUCUCGAGUCAGGGAGAGACUUGAAGUUAUCGAAAUGGAUCAACGUGAAUACACAUUGGAUGAUGAGGACCAAAAGGCACAAACAGUUAUUUUUAAACCUGAGCCUGACAAGGAUGACACUGCUGUGUUGAAGAAAACACUAUCAUGUUCUUACCCCAACUGUUCUUUCACUGAAGCACUUAAAAAAGAAAAUGAAAAGCUUAAACUAGAACUACAACGGUCACAAGCAAAUUUGGAUAUGAAUCAGUGUGAAGUCAUUCAACGUUUACUAGAUGUCACAGAAGUUGCAGCUUAUUCUGUUCCAGCCAAGUGUUCACCGGAGAAAAGUCACAAGAAAGAGGAAUACAAUUACUCUGAUGUCAACAGUGACCAGGACCAUUCAUCUGAUGAAAAAUACCAUGCAAAAAUUGACAAGCAUUCACCAUCAAGAUAUUCAGUUGCGCAAAAGGAUCUGGCAUCAACUGGAGGUUCAUAUCAGCAGGAAGAUUGGCACACUGAUUUACUCGCUUGUUGUUCUGAACCUUCUCUUUGUAUGAAGACAUUCUUCUAUCCUUGUGGAACAUUUUCAAAGAUUGCUUCUGUUGCAAGAAACAGGCCCAUAUUUUUGUGUUUUUUCAGCAUCUGGAGAAGCAUGUAAUGACUUGAUGGCAUAUUCGUUAAUUUUGUCUUGUUGUUGCUAUACUUGCUGCGUAAGGAGGAAGCUUCGGAAGAUGUUGAACAUCACAGGGGGCUUUAUUGAUGAUUUCCUCUCUCAUUUGAUGUGUUGCUGCUGUGCCCUUGUGCAAGAAUGGAGAGAAGUGGAGAUCCGUGGGCUUACUGGUUCUGAGAAGACCAAAACAAGCCCUCCACCCUCUCAGUACAUGGAAUCUUAACUAACAAAUGAGAUUAUCAUUUGGUUGUUCGGGAUUCAAGGUUCCUUGAAGACCUUAUUAAAAUAGAGGCUAUUUGGCUAUAUUAGAAUUCUCACAGGAAGGCAGGAAUUAUGUAUUUUUAUUCUCACCGCACCUGGCCUCGUUUUAACUAUGUAUAGUAAUUUUAUUUUGUUGUACUCGAAAAAAAUUGCUAUUAGAUAUAGUUGAUGGUGUAUCAUAAACCUUUUUUUUUUUGUUUCCCUGGUUUAAUAUAGUCUGAAUUAAUUUCUUGUCA